rnacentral:rRNA from 1 species
CCUACGGGGGGCUGCAGUGGGGAAUAUUGCACAAUGGGCGCAAGCCUGAUGCAGCCAUGCCGCGUGUGUGAAGAAGGCCUUCGGGUUGUAAAGCACUUUCAGCGGGGAGGAAGGCGGUGAGGUUAAUAACCUUAUCGAUUGACGUUACCCGCAGAAGAAGCACCGGCUAACUCCGUGCCAGCAGCCGCGGUAAUACGGAGGGUGCAAGCGUUAAUCGGAAUUACUGGGCGUAAAGCGCACGCAGGCGGUCUGUCAAGUCGGAUGUGAAAUCCCCGGGCUCAACCUGGGAACUGCAUUCGAAACUGGCAGGCUAGAGUCUUGUAGAGGGGGGCAGAAUUCCAGGUGUAGCGGUGAAAUGCGUAGAGAUCUGGAGGAAUACCGGUGGCGAAGGCGGCCCCCUGGACAAAGACUGACGCUCAGGUGCGAAAGCGUGGGGAGCAAACAGGAUUAGAUACCCCAGUAGUC